ACGCUCGACACCUACGGGAGGCAGCAGUGGGGAAUAUUGCACAAUGGAGGAAACUCUGAUGCAGCGAUGCCGCGUGAGGGAAGAAGGUUUUCGGAUUGUAAACCUCUGUCUUUGGGGACGAUAAUGACGGUACCCAAGGAGGAAGCUCCGGCUAACUACGUGCCGGCAGCCGCGGUAAUCUGAGCGGGCUGGCAAGGC
rnacentral:rRNA from 1 species